AGGUUGACCUCGGAUCAGGUAGGGAUACCCGCUGAACUUAAGCAUAUCAAUAAGCGGAGGAAAAGAAACCAACAGGGAUUGCCCUAGUAACGGCGAGUGAAGUGGCAAUAGCUCAAAUUUGAAAUCUGGCGUCUUCGGCGUCCGAGUUGUAAUUUGUAGAGGAUGCUUCUGGGUAGCCACCGUUCUAAGUUCCUUGGAACAGGACGUCAUAGAGGGUGAGAAUCCCGUAUGUGACCGGCCGGCGCCCUCCACGUAGCUCCUUCGACGAGUCGAGUUGUUUGGGAAUGCAGCUCUAAAUGGGAGGUAAAUGUCUUCUAAAGCUAAAUAUUGGCCAGAGACCGAUAGCGCACAAGUAGAGUGAUCGAAAGAUGAAAAGCACUUUGGAAAGAGAGUUAAAAAGCACGUGAAAUUGUUGAAAGGGAAGCGCUUGCAACCAGACUUGUCUGCGGAGUUCCGCCGGUCUUCUGACCGGUUCACUCUCCGUAAGCAGGCCAGCAUCAUUUGGGACCGUCGGAUAAAACCUUGGGAAUGUGGCUCCCCUCGGGGAGUGUUAUAGCCCACAGGCGAUGCGACGCGUCUCGAGUGAGGUCCGCGCUUCGGCUAGGAUGCUGGCGUAAUGGUUGUAAGCGGCCCGUCUUGAAACACGGACCAAGGAGUCUAACAUCUAUGCGAGUGUUCGGGUGUCAAACCCCUGCGCGUAAUGAAAGUGAACGGAGGUGGGAACCGCAAGGUGCACCAUCGACCGAUCCUGAUGUCUUCGGAUGGAUUUGAGUAAGAGCAUAGCUGUUGGGACCCGAAAGAUGGUGAACUAUGCCUGAAUAGGGUGAAGCCAGAGGAAACUCUGGUGGAGGCUCGCAGCGGUUCUGACGUGCAAAUCGAUCGUCAAAUUUGGGUAUAGGGGCGAAAGACUAAUCGAACCAUCUAGUAGCUGGUUCCUGCC
rnacentral:rRNA from 1 species